GCACACGCUGCCAUACAACGCCAGUGACUUCUUUAAAAAGGAGGUGGUCGAGAAGACAACUGUGCACAGGGGGCUUUAUUGGGAGAACAACUGAUGAAUAAGUUUGAUUUUUCUUUGCAUUCAGAAAGGAAUUUCAAAAUGGAAAGUCUUUCCAGAUCCGACAGGGAAGUCCAUCCAGGAAUGUCGUCCCGGAGAUCUGUGAGGGAAUGUGAGGACGGAUCAGAGGGGUCAACACCUGUGUUUUACAAUCAGCUUCAGUGCAUAGAGACACAGAGAUGAAGAAAGUCAACACCAGGUCUAUUUCAGUAGCACACACAAGCUGUAAAUAGCUCCUGAUGAACAGGCCUGUAGCGGGACAACAUCCCUGUGUCAUGAAAUCUUGCUGUGAUCACAUACAAACUCAAGAUAAAUAUUUCAUCCAUUAUAUAUGAUACGCUGCUGAAGCUCUGUGCUUGUGUCAUGUGGACCCACUGAAGAUAGGUCAAAAAAUGUAAAGAAUAAAUGCAGA